UGAGUUCUUGUUUUCCGUUUCUGUUAGAAACAUGAAAGCCACAUCAACUAGAUGGAAAUCCUAGAGGAAUUUAAGAAGAAAAGAUAAAUUGUUUGACAAUAAAUGUGAUUUUGCUUUCUACUCUUGUCAGUCAUAUCUGCAAGGCUGACAGUUACCAGGGGCUGUGGCCAGUUAUGAAGGAGAAUGUGUCAUGGCUGGCUGUGUUGGUCAUAGCAACGUGUCUGCCUCAGAACAGAUGCAGCAUGGAUGAACAAACAGAAAAAUGUGUAAGAAGGCUUGUGAUUGAAACAGACCGAAGCUGCUGAAGCUCCUUGGAGAACUGCUUUCAGGAUGCCAGGGCCUGUGCAGAGAGCCCCUCCAGCCAAAGCGCCUGGGCAUUUAUUGUCUCCACCCUGCUUGUGGCCUUGAUGAAUGGUGUACAAGUGAGGUGAGAGAACCUUUGUGGAGCUCAGAAGUUCAGCAGAGAGAUCAUAGCACUUUGUCUGGAGCAAAAAAUAAAAAAUAAGUAAAUAAAUCCAAGAAUAGAUGCAUUAAAGAAGGUAAGAACAGUUUUACUUUGCCUGUGUCACCCUCCCCCAGUGUGGCACAGCUGAGUGCCAAGAGAGACCACUUCAGCCUGAUUUCUUCCACAGGGGAAAGUGAGAACAGUGAGUGCCCAGUUUCCUCAGCUGUAGGAUGCUGUAGAAGAGACCCACUUCUGCCUCACCCAGUUCAGAACCCUGAGGGAAUCAGUAUGGUAGAAUAAUCUGGGGUAGCUAGGAGCAGGGAAAAGGGGCAGAACUCACAGCAACCUAGGUAUGGAAUUCAGCAAAGAGCCACAGUUUCUAUAAACUACCUCCCAAAUUCCAUCAAGAGGGCCAGCCACAAACUGCAUAGAAUGCAUAAUCCGCAGAUCCCCUGACUAGCCCAUGUGUGCUUCCAACCUUCUGCAUGCCUUUUCCCCAUGUGGCUGGCACCCUGAAUACACCCCCAUGGAUAGCAUGUACAAGCUUCUGCAGAUUGUGCAUGAGAGCACGAAGAUAACUAACUUGAUUCAGGAUUGGAAAGAGGUGAUUAAUCUUGAAUUUUUCAAGGCACUUCCUAGGGAAGAUAAACAGGAGGCUUACAUUGCACCUGGCCUGACUUUUGCAAGACCAAGAGAAGGAAUAUGCUGUAAUUUGAAUGAAAAUUUAAAAUUUAAAAUUUAUGUUGAAGCUGAAUCCUCAAUGCAAUAGUACUAAGAAGUCUGACCUUUGGGAGGUGAGACUUCUCCUAUGAAGAAUGCAGCAAGAAAAUACCAUCCUGAAGCAGAGAGCAGCUUUCAUCAGGCAUCAAUCCUUCUGGAGCCUUGAUCUUGGACCUCCC